ensembl:antisense Gm14291 predicted gene 14291
GCGUGCUAGCCAAUCACUCUACCAACCGAGCUAAAAUCCCAGCCUGUUAUACAAGAAAGAAACGAGAGAUGGAGGGAAUUAAAAUGAGGGCAUGCAUGAACAUCAUCCCCCAAGUGCUGCCUCAGCAUCUCAGGUCUCCACCGGAGCUGCCUGCCCUUAACCACGGAGGAGCUGGGAGCUGUCACCUUUAAGGGGAACCAGCCCUUCACGCAGCACAGCUAAAGAUAAAAGGACCUCAUCACAGAUGUGUCUGCACCACGCUUGGGUGUCUCUGGCUGUCAGCUCUCCAGUGCCAAACAGAAGUGUCCCACUGCCACCCCUAAAGCCCUCGGAAUGAAGAACAAACUGCCCACCCAACAUCUGCUUCUAGGAGAGGUGUGUAGGCUGAGCUCUACUGGCAAGAGCUGUGUGACCCCAGGCAAGUCACUUGACCUCUCUGAGCUAGCAUUCUCAUCUGGAAAGCUGGCAUAACACUCCAUCUUCUCUAAGAUGCUGCGAGGAACGAAAAUAUGUAUCUGCUGUGCCCGUCUCAGCAUUUCAAGGUACUCGGGACGCUGGGCGUGGUGGCACUGAGGCAGGAUCUCUGAGUUCAAGGCCAGCCUGGUCUACAGAGUGAGUUCCAGGGCAGCCAGUGUCACAAGGGAGGCUUGCAAGCCACAGGACCUCUGAAAGUGCAGUCAAUGCUCUUACCCACUGAGCCAUCUCGCCUGCUUCCCUAUGCUGAUUUUUAACGUGCAGGCUGAACAAAACCAUCUUGCAGACUGGUAUACACUGUAGCAAGGCUUGAAUGCUGGGAUACAGGGG